rnacentral:rRNA from 1 species
AACGAACGCUGGCGGCGUGGCUAAGACAUGCAAGUCGAACGAACUGGUCAAUUUAUUGAGCAGUUAGUGGCGAAAGGGUGAGUAAUGGAUAGGUAACGUGCCCUGUGCUCCGGAACAGCGUCGUUCGCCUUCGGGCGAACUACCGAAAGGGACGGUAAUACCGGAUAAUAUCAUUUGUCGAUGGGCAUUUGAUCAAAGAUUUAUCGGCGCGGGAGCGGCCUAUCUCCUAUCAGCUUGUUGGUGAGGUAACGGCUCACCAAGGCGGCGACGGGUAGCGGGACUGAGAGGUUGGCCCGCCACAUCGGGACUGAGACACUGCCCGGACCUCCACGGAGGGCUGCAGUAACGAAUCUUGCGCAAUGGGCGAAAGCCUGACGCAGCGACGCCGCGUGUAGGAGGAAGUCUUUCGGGAUGUAAACUACUGUCAGGGGUAAGAAAGUCCGCUCCGGCGGAUGAUCUAACC